rnacentral:rRNA from 1 species
UACGAAGGGGGCGAGCGUUGUCCGGAAUUAUUGGGCGUAAAGAGCUCGUAGGCGGUCUGUUGCGUCCGCUGUGAAAACCCGGGGCUUAACCCUGGGCUGGCAGUGGAUACGGACAGACUAGAGGUAGGUAGGGGAGAAUGGAAUUCCCGGUGUAGCAGUGAAAUGCGUAGAUAUCGUGAGGAAGACCAGUGGCGAAGGCGGGUCUCUGGACAGUUCCUGACGCUGAGGCGCGAAGGCCAGGGGAGCAAACGGG